CAACAUCUAAAAUCAAUCUCCAGCUCUGCUAAUAAGCGCCACCACAUUUUUUGGCUCUUUGUUUUAGAAGGGACCCCUGAGUUCUAAUUAAUAAUAGAAAAUAACUUCUGGCUUUUAUUUUUUUAGAACGACCAUUGCUUCUUUGUCCCCGUUUGCUGUGCUGCAACCUGAGAUCUUUUGCACUGGUACCAACAAUCCUGAUUAGCCUUCAAGGAGCAUCCAACCUGAAUCACCAUCUUAAGAGUGUAAUCAAUUGCUAACUCUGAUGGAAAGCAGCUCAGAGGCCAGGCCAAUAAGGACUUGCAUUAGAUCUUUGAAGGAAGUGAUGCCUCUCUGACACUAUUUCAGCUCAUCUACAGCCUUACAGGAAUGGUGCCCUAUGAUCUCUGUGAAUCCUUAUACCCUGCCAACAUUUGUGGUUGCCCUAGUGUGCGACUUCACCAACCUGGAGACGGUAACUAGGAGCAUAAGCUAAUGAUUCCAUUUCAAGAACAAAUGUGAAGCAAGAUGAUGUUAUAGUGUGCAGCGCGAAGUGGAAAACAAUGGGCAUAAGCAUGCUUAAUUGCCUGUUGGACUGGGGCCAUGAUGUUUGCAAGUUGACCCUAUAUAAAGCUAUAUGCAUAUAGUCCUUUUAAUAUAAUUGAACUGGCAGCCACAUAAGUGCUUCACGUGACGCUCUGCAAUGACUUUGAUGUUUUCUUCAUCCUCUGAUAUUCAGGUAUUAUUGUUUUUACCUCUGAUAAAAGCCAUAACAAAAAAAUAAAUCAAAGACUGCCAGGAAGAAGGAUGAAUGAUGUUUUCAUUUUGGCUGUUGCCAGAACGGCUCUAGACUGAAGAAUAUCUUGGGAUCUUUAAUCAACCCUUUUUUGAAGUGCAUAUUUAUUUUUUCCUCCACUUGCACAAUUUAUCUUUUAUUUUCGGAGAAACUGGAACAAAGCUUUCUCUUUUCCCCCUUUCAGAAGCAAAGGAGGUGAGUUUGACAUUUUGUCUACCAAGGUUUUCUCUAAUAGGCAUUACACAUCCGCCAAGGUGAUGAGUUAUUGGUUGUCAAUAUUGCAUGUAUUGAUCAACAUCUUCCAAACACCAACUUUCACAUAUGAGUUAAAACAGAA